AGCCCUGGGCCCUUCCCUGAGAGAACCCCGCGCUCCCCCAGGGACCCACCCCACUUCCAGGAGCAAGAGUGGUCUAGCGUCGCUCCAAGGUAGAUUGGAUUCCAACAGAGGGAAAGUGACACCCUAUUCCAAAUGAUGGCCCUACUGGACAGCAGGGAAGUCUAAGCUACACUGUCAGCUUCAUCUGAGUUAACCAGCAUCUGAAUGGGACUUUUCAAUCCUGUUAAGGUUUUCUUAAGUUUGAGUUACUUACUCAUCAUCUGGAGUGAGCUGGACAGGUUCAUUAGUGAACUGGGAAUCAAAGUUAUCCAGACCAAAUUCACCUGAUAUAUUUGGUUUAAAUGGAGGAACCACCUGUUUUUGUUCCAUCUAUAAAUAAUUUAAAGAUGGAAGGCAGUACUCGGGAAGGAGAAGGAAUGGAGACUUAAAAGCAUUUAAAACAGAUUCCAGAUUCCUAUCCCAAACCUUUGUUUGCAGAAAUGGUAUAUCACAACUGGUUGCAUCAAAAUGGUGGAAAAUUGUAGAAGUGAUGUUCCUGACCAGACCACCACUGAAUUCUUUUUUUAAAUCAAAAUUCUGACCUGCAACUGUUCUCCAGCCAGUUCAGCAUCAGAGUGCGCUUUUAGCACAUUUGUAUUGAUUUGGGUGAAACUAACGGUCUACUGCUUGAACAAGUAAAUAGAAAAAGUACUGGUAUGCAAGAGCUGAUACAAAAGAGUGGCAGAUUUAACUAGUUAAUAGACUGGGAAUUAUCUUUUGUUUUAGAAA